CUGGAACCAAACCUUCGAAAUCGCAAACCCUAACAUACAUCUCGAAAGCAUUCUGUCGAAUUGAAUUGUAGAUUAUAUUCUCGAAUUGCUGCAGGAAAUCAUCAACCUUAAUUUUUCAGUAGCAGUAGCAGAUUUUACCAUGGCUGAACUAUUACUAUGCAGAUCAAAGAGAUUAUGAAUUGAUUCCUGAUGCUCAUAUUAAAUGGGAUCAACGUACUCAAAAGCAAAGUGCAAGCAUAACUGCUAGGAGAGUUGAGAAUAUCAUAUAUUAAUCACGUCAGAGUGAUGCAAGCAGUACUAUUUUCUAUUUUGAAAGGCCUGGCCUGUUUCCACUAGAGCCCGAUCCAGCCCUUAUCCGGCCCAUUGCACAGGCCUACUUACAAGAAUAUAUUACUAGUUGAGAAAAAAAUGUGUAUGACGAAUAGGCCUAGGUUACCCCAUUUGUUAUUUACCGUUGUAUUUUGUGUUGGAAAAAGUUGUUAUAUGUCUUCAACACAAUUUGAGUCAAUGCUUAUAAAAAAUGGCAAAUCAUUUCUGUUGUUAAAA